UACGGAGGAUGCAAGCGUUAUCCGGAUUUAUUGGGUUUAAAGGGUGCGUAGGCGGAGUAAUAAGUCAGUGGUGAAAACCUGCAGCUAAACUGUAGAAUUGCCGUUGAUACUGUUAUUCUUGAGUGUGGUCAAGGUAGGCGGAAUGUGUAAUGUAGCGGUGAAAUGCUUAGAUAUUACACAGAACACCGAUUGCGAAGGCAGCUUGCUGGGCCAUUACUGACGCUGAUGCACGAAAGCGUGGGGAUCGAAC
rnacentral:rRNA from 1 species